rnacentral:rRNA from 1 species
CCGCGGUAAUACGUAGGGCGCGAGCGUUGUCCGGAAUUAUUGGGCGUAAAGAGCUCGUAGGCGGCUGGUCGCGUCUGUCGUGAAAUCCUCUGGCUUAACUGGGGGCUUGCGGUGGGUACGGGCCGGCUUGAGUGCGGUAGGGGAGACUGGAACUCCUGGUGUAGCGGUGGAAUGCGCAGAUAUCAGGAAGAACACCGGUGGCGAAGGCGGGUCUCUGGGCCGUUACUGACGCUGAGGAGCGAAAGCGUGGGGAGCGAACAGGAUUAGAUACCCUGGUAGUCCACGCCGUAAACGUUGGGCACUAGGUGUGGGGGGCCUUUUCCGGGUUUUCCGCGCCGUAGCUAACGCAUUAAGUGCCCCGCCUGGGGAGUACGGCCGCAAGGCUAAAACUCAAAGGAAUUGACGGGGGCCCGCACAAGCGGCGGAGCAUGCGGAUUAAUUCGAUGCAACGCGAAGAACCUUACCAAGGCUUGACAUGUGCCGGUCGGCUCCGGAGACGGGGUUUCCUCCUUGUGGGGCCGGUUCACAGGUGGUGCAUGGUUGUCGUCAGCUCGUGUCGUGAGAUGUUGGGUUAAGUCCCGCAACGAGCGCAACCCUUGUCCCGUGUUGCCAGCACGUUGUGGUGGGGACUCGCGGGAGACUGCCGGGGUCAACUCGGAGGAAGGUGGGGAUGACGUCAAAUCAUCAUGCCCCUUAUGUCUUGGGCUUCACGCAUGCUACAAUGGCCGGUACAGAGGGCUGCGAUACCGUGAGGUGGAGCGAAUCCCUUAAAGCCGGUCUCAGUUCGGAUCGGUGUCUGCAACUCGACACCGUGAAGUUGGAGUCGCUAGUAAUCGCAGAUCAGCAACGCUGCGGUGAAUACGUUCUCGGGCCUUGUACACACCGCCCGUCACGUCACGAAAGUUGGUAACACCCGAAGCCCAUGGCCUAACCGUUUAUCGGGGGGAGUGGUCGAAGGUGGGAUUGGCGAUUGGGACGAAGUCGUAACAAGGUAGCCGUACCGGAAGGUGCGGCUG